AUGGUGAAAGCCAUCUCAAACUUGUCUCAGGUUUUUGUUAUUUUAGUUUUUGUUGCAGCUGUUUGGAACAUGGGAUUACCACAAGUGAAUUGUGAAGAGAUAUGUCAGUCACCUAUGGGAGAAUGUGGUGCAGCUGGAAUUUGUCAAGAUAAGUGCAAAGUCUCAUACGCUGGUGGGGAAGGGUCCUGCAAUACGCUGAUAGGCUUAUGUAUUUGUUAUCAUCCGGAGCCAUGCAAUUGA